UUAUGAAUGGCGUAAAGAGGUCUUUUAGUGUUUUUGGAUACAACCGCUGAAAAACAUCGACUCUGGUAGCAUCUUUUCAAGGCAUAGUUGAUCCUCUUACCACCAACUUUCUGAGCAAUUUGGGCGUUGAAUUGCUCCACAAUAUUCGUUGUCACAUUUUCAAUGAGACUACAGGCAUGUUGGGCUAAAUAUCUAACCGCUUCCAUCAUUCUUCUUUCUAUAUCGAAUUGACGGAAAUCCGCCAUAAAAUUUGUAGUGUCAGGUUCUUUUUUAUCGCAGAAAUACUCCAGUUUUGCGCAAUUUUUAUGCUCGCCGAAAAUGUGGCUGACGCUAUUUAUUAUAUCCAUUUUCAGGAGUCUAAUUUUCUCUUCAUGGUUAUUUUCCGACUGUGAUUUUCUAAAAGACACUGCCUUAGUGACAGCAGUUCUACAUCGGAGAAUAUUUUUUGCUAUUACGCUUUUUAAAGUUCCUGGAACUCCGCGAGCGUUCGAAAGUUCUCGUAAUUUGUUGCAAUAGUUUCGCAACAGAUGGUUGGUGCAUUCGAUUUUUUGCACAGUGCAAUGUUCGUAGGGUCUACUGUCCAAAAUUUUCUUGUAGCAACUACUGUCCCCAUCGGCAAUCAUUUUAUUAUAAAUGAGGUUGUACAUUGGAACACUGGAGCAGAAACCUUCAGCAAUUAUACUGGCCUCCAUGGCUGUCGAUGAGGAUGUCCAAUUUUUAUAACAGGUAUGUGCUGCUGCUACCUCUCCCCUGUUCUCCGCUCUUUGACACAAUGUGCAAUACUUAUUUUUUACUCCUAAGUAGAGUACUUUUCCGGUUUUGAAGCCAACAAUAGUUGCCGCCCCGGAAAGAGAAUUAUAAUUUCCUCCACCACGAUAAGACCUUUUAGCCCAACUGCCAUCACAGACGACGGUAAUCAUAGGCGUUCCAUUUUCAUCCACGUUACCACAUUCCAAAGCUAAUUUUGCCUCUUCUGCUGCAGCUUCUGCCAUGGAUGUCCAAGCUAUACUUUCCCAGGCAUUGCACACCUCAUUAUGCACUCUCUUAUAUAAGGUGAAUGAAAAACAUGGAAUAUCCACACCUUCUAUAAUUUUUCUGAGCUGUGUAUAGCCACCUCCCGAGUUCAUAACACUACUUACAGCGGAUGCAUUUAUAUCAAGCUUCUCUGGAGUUUCCGGGCAUGUCGAUAUUAUUUUUGAAAACCCACACAUAUUGCAUACAAACUUUAGUUUUGAUUGCAAACCAAUUUUUGUUUCUUUCACCAGACGCAUGUUGGACAAAUUGCAUGCAAAUAUUUCUGAGUGACUUGAAAGUUCCUUCAUAGCAUCGAUGAAUUGCUGAAUGUAAACUAUCCGGGCUCCCUCUAAAGAUAUUUCACUGUAAAAGAGUUGGUGGAAUAUAAGAAGGUGUAACAGAGUAAUAAAUAUUUUGAAUAAAAUAAUGAAAAUAUUUCCAGAGCGAAAUGACGAAGCCGUGUAAUUCGAGGUGAUAAAUGGUUGAAGUAAACAUUAAUUCAAUAUUUACAAAAAGAAUGACAAGUAGUUCUCCAAAGAUGAUGAUUGAUGAUAGAUAUGAAAGAAAAGAUGAAAAGUUGGACUGAAACAUUUCAAAUGGUACUUUCCGAACAACCGCAGUGUCUUACUGAUCACCUGAGAUUGUUAUAAAAACUGCAAAAAACUUGGAGACCCUUUGUUGUUCCAGAGCCUUCAAUUUUUCUUGUAGAUACGAAAGCUACUCCAGCAUUACGGGCACUAAAAGCAUAUAAAAAUUGGUUGUACAAAUAAUAUUAUUGAUGUCAAAAUAACUUACCUCGUAUAUUUGAAUAAAUUAUUAUUUCUUU